AAAAGGAAACCAAGAUCAAGGAAUUUUGAGAAUUCAUUAAGGGAGAAUCAAAAUCAUAUAUUUUUAAGUUUUCAAACUAAGAUCAUAUCUUCCUAAAAUUAUAUAUUCACAUAUGAAAAAAAUCAAAAGGGAUCACGAAAGGAUUUUAAGCAUUUAUCACAAGAUUAUGGAUGAAUUUGUUUUCUUAAGGAAUCAUAGGUCUUCAUUAAAUUAAGAGAUUUUCAAAAGAUCUUCUUUAAAUUAUAAGAUCUUCCUAAAUAAUCAAUAUUUCAGGAAAAGAGAAAACUAAAUUUCUAACAUUAAAGGAAGAUAUU
rnacentral:lncRNA from 1 species